rnacentral:rRNA from 1 species
GAUGAACGCUAGCUACAGGCUUAACACGUGCAAGUCGAGGGGCAGCAUGACGAUAGCUUGCUAUUGUUGAUGGCGACCGGCGCACGGGUGAGUAACGCGUAUCCAACCUGCCCUUGUCCACCGGAUAACCCGUCGAAAGGCGGACUAACACGGUAUGCAGUCCACAGCAGACAUCUAACGUGGACGAAAUGUGAAGGAGAAGGAUGGGGAUGCGUCUGAUUAACUUGUUGGCGGGGUAACGGCCCAACAAGGCGACGAUCAGUAGGGGUUCUGAGAGGAAGGUCCCCCACAUUGGAACUGAGACACGGUCCAAACUCCUACGGGAGGCAGCAGUGAGGAAUAUUGGUCAAUGGGCGAGAGCCUGAACCAGCCAAGUAGCGUGCAGGAAGACGGCCCUAUGGGUUGUAAACUGCUUUUAUACGGGGAUAAAGUGAGUCACGUGUGGCUUAUUGCAGGUACCGUAUGAAUAAGGACCGGCUAAUUCCGUGCCAGCCGCCGCAGUAA